GAUUUCAACUUCAAGAGAGACGACGAGAAUGAAAACCACAUGUUCGGUGUCAAGGAGAUGAAGAAGACGAGCCGGAUCAUCAAUAGGACGGAGUUAUCAAGAUCGCUUCCGGUGAAUGUUCCCGAUAACAUGUUUCGGAGGAGGUACCUCGGGAAAGAGGAGGAUGAAUACUCCGGCGGUGGAGGAGAGAUGGUUCCGCCGCAUGUCAUCGUCGGACGGAGGAUCCAAGGAGGAGAAAUGGCGUUUUCGGUUUGCACAGGUAGUGGAAGAACUCUCAAGGGGAGAGAUCUGAGCCGGGUUCGGAACUCGGUUCUCAAGUUAACCGGUUUUUUGGAGGCUUGAAUUAAACCUAUUACUAGUACUACUACCCGGUUUUGCCAUUUGAUUUAUCUUCCUAUUAUUCUUACAAUUUACGGAAAAAUUUACCAGUGUUGUUUUAUUUUAAGUAAAGCUGGGAAAAAUGUGAAACAAUUAAAAGAAAAAUAUGUUUGCAGAUUCUUUUAAUUUUUUUUAAUUUUCCUCAAUUAUAAAAGAAGACAUCAUCAGAGAAUUUCGUUUUAAUUGUGAGAAGAAAAGAAAGAAAAAUAAUAAUUGUUAUACGUUAAAAUUAAAAGAAAAUCCAAUUUUAGUCAAGUCUCAAGUGUCUUUUGUACUUUAACUGGAAUUAUGGAAGAGUGAUGAAUAUAUCUGAGUUGGAUUUUAUCUUGGACAAAAAGCUGAACUGAAACAGCUGUUCGGUUGUCAUUGAUUGAGAGAGAGAAAGGUACUAGUAGAAAUUAGUUGUGCCACCGGUGAUAUCAAGGAGAGAAAUGCAUUGAAGUUUUCACAAAGUUAAGAGCUUAUUAAGCCUUAUUUAUUAUUGGCCCAUUAACAACCCAUAACCAUUUAGCAAAUUGAAGUUGUUUUUUCCUUGCUCAUUAAAAGUUAUGGGCUGGUCAUGGUUUCCUUGAUAAGACCAACUAGACUUUGAUCCGCGCGCCCGCGCGGGUGUAUAUUUUGAAAAAUAUGUUGAUAUUUGUUUUUCAUCUAAUUAUUAGGAUUUGGAAAAAUGAAUCCGAAGAACAUAACCGAUACCGAUCCAAAAAUAGAGUACCAAACCCGAACAUAAAUUGAUUAAAUAUUCUAAUUAUUCAAAAUUUUGUUAUUUAAAGAACCGAAUCUGAUCCAAACUGAAGUAUUCAGGUACCCGAAUUUAUCUAAAAAUAGAUUUAUAUAAUUAUAUAUAUUAAUUAUUUUUAGAUUUAACGUAUAUAAAUCAUCAAGAAUGAUACUUUUAAACUGGUUUAAAUACUUGAAAAUAUAUGUAGAUAGUCAAAAGUAAAUAUCUGAAAUAGUUUAAGUAUACUCAAAUCACAAAAAAUACUUAAAAUAAUUAUUGAUUCCAUAUCCAAAAUUUUAAAUCAAGCCCAUUGAUAUGUUAAGCUUAGGUAUUCUGACAUAUGUUAUUCAAAUUUAUAUGUAAUAUAUUAUCUUAUUUAUAAAUUUUGAGAAAUUUAAAAUAUAUAAUGAUUUAAAACUUUUAAAAUAAUUCAAAUGGGUUAUCCAAAGCCGAACCAAACCCGCAAAGAUCCGAAUCGAACUCAAACCAAUAUUUAGAAACAUCCUAAUAGGACUGAAAUCUUUGACCCCGAAAAUCCAAAACGCAAACCGAUCAGAACCAAGCCCGUAUGGGUACCCGAAAGCCCAUCCCUAAACUGAAGUAUUCAGGUACCCGAAUUUAUCUAAAAAUAGAUUUAUAUAAUUAUAUAUAUUAAUUAUUUUUAGAUUUAACGUAUAUAAAUCAUCAAGAAUGAUACUUUUAAACUGGUUUAAAUACUUGAAAAUAUAUGUAGAUAGUCAAAAGUAAAUAUCUGAAAUAGUUUAAGUAUACUCAAAUCACAAAAAAUACUUAAAAUAAUUAUUGAUUCCAUAUCCAAAAUUUUAAAUCAAGCCCAUUGAUAUGUUAAGCUUAGGUAUUCUGACAUAUGUUAUUCAAAUUUAUAUGUAAUAUAUUAUCUUAUUUAUAAAUUUUGAGAAAUUUAAAAUAUAUAAUGAUUUAAAACUUUUAAAAUAAUUCAAAUGGGUUAUCCAAAGCCGAACCAAACCCGCAAAGAUCCGAAUCGAACUCAAACCAAUAUUUAGAAACAUCCUAAUAGGACUGAAAUCUUUGACCCCGAAAAUCCAAAACGCAAACCGAUCAGAACCAAGCCCGUAUGGGUACCCGAAAGCCCAUCCCUAGUCAUUAUUAUAUAUGUAUAUUGUCAUCAUAUAAUUAAUCGUAUUUUAUACGUACCAUCAUAUAAGUAAUCAUAUAAUUAAUAGUAUUUUAUACAUACCAUCAUAUAAAUAAUUACAUAUAUUGUAUUUUUAAAACUUAAUAUGAAAUAUAAAAACCAUCAUUUGAGUUGGUAUUUCAAAUUGGGCUUUGUAUUGUAUUUUUCUUAUAUAUAUUGACAACAUUUUUUUAUAAUGGUUAUUGAAAAAUACUUUAGUAAAAAUCCAUUUUUGAAUAUAUGUAUAUUUUUGAAUCAAUUUUUGAUAUAAAUCAACUUUGAAUUAUUAUUUUGAUUUGAAAUAUGUAUAUAAAGUUUAAAUUUUUUUUAUGGUUAGUUUGAAAAAAAAAAGUUUUAGGCAAUUAGAUUGACCCAUUUUGGUAUAUUUUAAAACUGACAUAGAUAGAUAGUUUCUUAUAAUAUGAUGGACUUUCAAUUUUUCUUAAUAACAUAAGCCCAUUACUUUUUUUCUUAAUACUAUUAUCCUUGUUUUCAAACAAAAUUAUUUUUUUUUCAAAAGACUACAAUUCAUGUUUCCAACCACUCCAAUUUUUUUAAUAGUCCUAUUCAAAUCUCCAAACACUCCAAUUUUGUACUUGAGUUUUAAUAAGAUAGAUACAAUUUAGAACCUCCUUUCUAUUUUCUACUCUCAGAUAUAGUUUAAAAAUGCUAUAAUAGAUUAUAUUUCUCAUUUUAUAAUUUUGUAAAAAAUAAGUUUACUCUAGUUCAUUAUUCUAUUUUUCACUCUAAAAUAUAGUAUUAUUGGAGUAUAUCUCAAUCCUAUUAUAAGUUACUCUUUUUUAGAAUGAAAAAAUAAAGUGAAUGAUUUGAGAUGGUCUAAGCCGAAUGAAAACACAGGUGUAACCUAUGUUACCUGGAAUCAAAAGAGGUUACACAAAAUUGAAGGUGCAAAAACAAUUUUUUUUUAAGUUAGGAAGUUGGUACGUGUUGAAAACGUAUAUAUAUAUAUAACCACAUGUUCGGUGUCAAGGAGAUGAAGAAGACGAGCCGGAUCAUCAAUAGGACGGAGUUAUCAAGAUCGCUUCCGGUGAAUGUUCCCGAUAACAUGUUUCGGAGGAGGUACCUCGGGAAAGAGGAGGAUGAAUACUCCGGCGGUGGAGGAGAGAUGGUUCCGCCGCAUGUCAUCGUCGGACGGAGGAUCCAAGGAGGAGAAAUGGCGUUUUCGGUUUGCACAGGUAGUGGAAGAACUCUCAAGGGGAGAG
rnacentral:lncRNA from 1 species